GUGCCAGCCCGCCGCGGUAAUACGGGGGGUGCUAGCGUUGUUCGGAAUCAUUGGGCGUAAAGAGCGUGUAGGCGGCUGGAUAAGUCAGAUGUGAAAGCCCUGGGCUUAACCCAGGAAGUGCAUUUGAAACUGUUCAGCUUGAGUAAGGGAGAGGAAAGUGGAAUUCCUGGUGUAGAGGUGAAAUUCGUAGAUAUCAGGAGGAACACCGGUGGCGAAGGCGACUUUCUGGCCCUAUACUGACGCUGAGACGCGAGAGCGUGGGUAGCAAACAGG
rnacentral:rRNA from 1 species